GGAUUAUGUCACUGGAAGUAGUACUGUAUGUGAGCGAUACUGUGCUCUGUGGUGCUGCCAUAUACAGUGCUCCUCUCACUGACCACCAAUGAAAGAGGUGCCCCUUCUGGAAGUAUGGUGGGGGCUGGAUAAAUGGCCUCAGGGGGCCGCAUGUGGCCUGUGGACUGUAGUUUGGGGAUCCCUGACCUAGAGUGUAAUGGAAGUCAGCAAUAUGCACAGACUCUAUUGCAUGUUCCUCCCUCCUAUUCCUCCCAACUCCCCAAGAAGUCCUUUAGUUGCAAUGGCAGCAUCGAGUCUCACUGGCAUGGUGGCAAACAAUGGCAUCAUCUCAAACAGAAAUGGCAGGGGGAUAUGCAUGAAUCAGGCAGCUUGACAUCAAGUUCCUAAGCAAAAGUAGGAAUUGGAUGGUGCCAAAGGAGGAGUUGGCAUCUCAAAGAGGCCACUGAAAAGAUCAAAUGUCUAACUGAUCAAACAAUGCCAAAUGAAUGUAGCAUGGCUAAUUAGUAGCCUUGUAAUAAGCCAUUUAUGCCCCAAUGAAGCUUGAAUAUUAGUUUCAAGGCUGGCUGUACUGGUAGUAAUAAGUUAGGCUCCUGAAUUCUGUUCUAACCCUUCUAUAAGGCAUGUUAUGAUUCCCUUACAUUUAACAUUCCUCUCUCUUUGUAAGAAUAAACUACCUAUACCAUACUUGAUUCA
rnacentral:lncRNA from 1 species